AUUGAACGCUGGCGGCAUGCUUUACACAUGCAAGUCGAGCGGCAGCGCGGGGGCAACCCUGGCGGCGAGCGGCGAACGGGUGAGUAAUGCAUCGGAACGUAUCCUCGAGUGGGGGAUAACCCAGCGAAAGUUGGGCUAAUACCGCAUGAGCUCUGAGGAGGAAAGCGGGGGACCUGCGGGGGCCUCGCGCGGGAGGGGCGGCCGAUGUCGGAUUAGCUAGUUGGUGGGGUAAAGGCUUACCAAGGCGACGAUCGGUAGCUGGGCUGAGAGGAUGAUCAGCCACACUGGGACUGAGACACGGCCCAGACUCCUACGGGAGGCAGCAGUGGGGAAUUUUGGACAAUGGGGGCAACCCUGAUCCAGCCAUGCCGCGUGAGUGAAGAAGGCCUUCGGGUUGUAAAGCUCUUUCGGACGGAACGAAAUGGGCGGGACUAAUACUCCUGUCUGAUGACGGUACCGGAAGAAGAAGCACCGGCUAACUACGUG
rnacentral:rRNA from 1 species